GGUGUCUUAUAUGGAUAGAUACGCUGGCAAAGUUCUACCUUGAAGGAAUGUUUUUUAGCAUAAUGAAUGAAACACACAAUAGGUUGAAUAAUACAGUCAUUUUUCUAGUCAGGAGUGUUUUGUUUGUUUUUUGUUUUUUGGCUAUGUCUGCAGCAUGUAAAAGUUCCCGGGCCAGGGAUCAAUCCUGUGCCAUAGCAGUGGUAGUGCCGCACCCUUAACCCGUAGGUCACCAGGGGCCCCCUGGCCAGGAGUGUAUAACCAGUAAGAAAUAAUAAACUGAAAGUGGGAGAAAAUGUGGUAUAUUUAAGUGUACGUUGUUUCUAGAUAUAUGAUUUCUUGAUUUCUGUCCCAGGGAAGCGUGGGUGGUAUUCUUCAUUUUCUUCAGAUGCCACUGAAAUCCAGAAAACCAUGUUUUUCAAGUGUUUUUGUUUGCAUAUGAAACUUCUCAUGUAUAUACAAAAUCUUCACAGUGUAUGACUGUACAGUUUUUCUUAGUUUGCCUUUCCCUUUUAAUGUAACACAAAGCUGUGCUACUCACCUUUAAAAGGAUUUUUUUUUGUUUUUGGUCAUGUUGAUCCACAGAAAUACUUGCUUAUAAGGAACUUUUUUUUCUUUUGUUUAUUAGGAGGAUAUAGUCAUUUACUCUCUGAAGCCUAUAUCCCCUCUUUUUGUGUAUAGACCACUGUUAAUUAGCUUACCUGUUGUCCAUUUCAAACCCCCCCCCCCCAAAGUACGGUAGCAAUUCCAAGAUGUGAUUAAACUGUGUGUUUUAUUUGUAAAACCAAUCUUUUUCUUCACUGUGUGUGACUCAGGAUCUAAUCAAGGAACAGUUGUAACUUAAGUGGUACAGAUACAAUCUUGAGUAAAAGUGUGGAGUGUUACGUGGUGUGUAUACUAAGAGUCUCUUCGGGGGUUUAUAAUCUCAGUAUUAGUAUGUAUUAAUUUAGACAAUGAUAGCCACAGUAAAACUUUUUCUGUGGAUGUAUGUGCACCUAAAGGCUGCAUUUUUUUCUCUUUGGUUUUAAACUGUCUGGUGACUAGAUUUGUAUGAUCCUGUAGUUGAAAGCCGCCUAGGUUUAUCUGAAUAGUUUUACAUUGUAUGUAUUUUUGGUUGGAACUAGAGGUACGAAGAAUGGACUGUGUUGGUUUAGUGUUUAAAUUUGGGAUGCAGAGAAGUCACUGGACACAUCUGUAUCAGAUAUCAGAUUUGGAGGUCAGUUGGAUGAGUAAGAACACAAAGUGGUCAAAGAGGAGACUGGGAUGCAGGGUGGAUGAGGGGAAAUGUGAGAUGGUAGUAAUUAAGAAUGAGGGUGCUUUGUGACUAGAGUCAAAAUACACGAGGUGGCCACAUCUGUAAGGGCUUGAGAAAUUGAUGUGAACAGGUGGUGUGGGUGAGAUUAAAGAAAACAUUCUGUCUUUUCUUCAAGCGUAGGGUGUGAGUUCCCUGGGGUCUUACAGGAAAGUGUUAAAGAUCAUUGGGAGAGAGCUGAGGUGCACAUUCCAAACUAAAGUGGAAGCAGUAGCACUUUCAGCAGAAUUGGUUUUCCAUCUAUUAGAGGCUCUUGGGCUCAUUCCUCCUGCUAAGCCCAAAGGCACAUCCUGAGCCAGGUAAAGGAUAGUGCUUCAUAGUGUCUCUGCAGGAGGCCAUGGAGACUUUCUUCUUUCUGUUAUUGGUAUUGCCAAAAGCAACUCCAUUCCUUGGGAUGUAUUCUCCAUUUUCAACCUUCAAGCCUGGUGUGGAAUGUUCAACAAAAUGUUGCCCAUUUUCCGCUUUACUUGUUGUUUGGGGGGUGGGGUGGGGGCGGGAAGAAAAACUCUCACAAGCACUUCUCUUUUAAAAGAUUUUUUUUCUUCUUUUUUUUUUUUUUUUUUUUUUUUCUNNNNNNNNNNNNNNNNNNNNNNNNNNNNNNNNNNNNNNNNNNNNNNUCAAACCCAAGCCACAGCAGUGACAACACUGAAUCCUUAACCACUAGGCCACCGGGGAACUCCAAGGUUUUUCGAUUAAUACGUAUGGGGGAGGUCACAUUAAAUUUAAAAGAAUUUAAUAGUAGUGCUGGUCGGGGAAUAAGACCUUUCUUAUUUGCUGAUAGGUUGAUGAAGGGCCCCCUCUCAUCCAACCUAGGCUCUUCCAAAAUGCCUCCAAUGAUGAAGGGCAUGCUGAUCUCUUUUCUCCAGAAAACCAGCUGAGCUCAGUGGCCAGGCAUGGGCUUUGGAAUCAGAGACCUGAAUUGAGAAUUUGACUUUAUAAAUUUCUGCUUGCUUUUGGGCAGUUUACCUCUCUGCCUCUUUUUCUUUAAAAAAAGUAUAUCCUAGAGUUGCUCUGAGGUUUAGUGAGCUCUGAUGCCUGUCAAGGCCCUUGGCACAGUGCCUAACCAGGGUAAUUACAUUUAUUAAGGACUGACUUCCCAGCCUUGAAUGAAGGCACUUUAGUGACAGAUUAAUGGAUGCCACAUUCUCUUGCCUCACCUGGGCAGUUUGCAUUUAUAGUAAUCUCCAGACCACUGCUAUCUUGUCAGUUAAUGAGGUUUCUGACUGGACUUUGGCUGGUUUGGCUGUUUUCCAGAGCCUAUCCCUUGUUCAGUAAGCUUUGUUAAGCAAUCUGUUGUGUGUCUUGAGUUCUACAAGUCAUGAUAUAUCUUGUUCUAGCUUCUGCCCUAAGAAAACUCACAGUGUGGGAGGGGCGGCAGACGGUAAACAGACAAAACACCAUGAGGAAGGUGCUAUGGGAGAUCAUCAGAGUACUGUGAAAGUACUGACAGGGCGUCUCACCGAGACUGGAAGUGGAGGAUGGCCAGGAGGGCUUCUCUGAGGAGAUGGUGCUUAAGCUGGGUGUAAAAGAUGAGUAGGAGUUAACCACGUGGGGAUGGUGAGGAAGGGCUUUCCAGGCAGGGGAAGCAGCUUAUGAAAAGGCCGAGAGGAGUAAGAAAGUGUGCUGAAUUCAGAGAAUUGCAGAGUCAGUGCAGGAUGUUAGCUGAGUUUAUGGCAUGAGGGAAGAUGAAGCUGGGAGGAUGAGCAGGGGCCAGUAAAGAACCUACUUGAUUGCAGGGCUGUUGAAUUUAGAUUUUGUUCUGAGCAGUUUGUACCAUUUAAGGAUUUUAAGUAUGGAUGACAGAUGAUAUUUAUAUUUCAAAAAAAUUUUUUUCUGGCAGCAUUGUGGAGGAGAAUUGGAGGGUAUAAGCAUGGAAGCAGAGUUCACUUAGAGCAUGUAAACCUUUUUGGGCCAUGGAUCCCUUUGGCAGUCUGGUGGACCCCUUCUCAGAAUAAUGCAUGAAAUAAAAAACUGGUGAUUUCAAAGGAAACUAGUGAGGUCUCAAUGCACUUCUCUCUGUGGACUAUAGAGUCUGUGAACCCUAGAUAAAGCAACCCUGAGUCAAUGCUCUAGUACAGUUGAGAAUGAUUGUAGGCUGAAACCUGGAUCAUGGCUCUGGUUGUGUCUAGUGAGAGCCAGCAUCCUCAUUGACGCUGUCUUCUCAUUGUAGCCUAACAUGGUAGAAGGGAUAAGGAGCCUCUCUCCAGCCUCUUUUAUAAGGGUACUAAUCCCAUGAUCUAAGCAGAGCCCUCAUGAUCUAAUUGCUUCCCAACGGCCCUCCCUCCAAACACCAUCAUAUUGGGCAUUAGGAUUCAAGAUGUGAAUUCUCAGGGGACAGACAUUUCACUCCAUAGCACUAGGGCAGUGGGGACUGAAGAGGAAAGCCUGAGUAUGAGAGUAGAGGCAGAUUGGAUGGGAGAUUGAGUAGGUGGGUGGAAAAGAAAAUGCAGCUGAGUGAAAAAUGGCCAGUCACAUUAUGGUGGUUGUAGAAGUUUUGCCUACAUACUGGUUAGCUUUGGAAAAGUUGUUUGUGACUCCAUUUAUUUGUAAGUCCAGUGUGAAAUUAAAGAAGCAACCACUGGAAUUCCUGUUGUGGCUCAGCAGAAAUGAAUCUUACUAGUAUCCAUGAGGAUGCAGGUUUGAAGGGUCCCUGGCCUUGCUCAGUGAAUUAAGGAUCCAGCGUUGCCUGAGCUGUGGUAUAGGUCUCAGAUGCGGCUCGGAUCUGGCAUUGCUGUGGCUGUGGUUUAGGCCAGCAGCUGUAGCUCUGAUUCAACCCCUAGCCUGAGAAACUCCAUAUGCUGUGGAUACUGCCCU
ensembl:lncRNA